CUAACAAGGAUUCCCCUAGUAACGGCGAGUGAAGCGGGAAGAGCACAAAUUUUAAAUCUACCUGGUUCUACCAGGUCGAGUUGUAAUUUGAAGAAACGUUUUUAAUGUUCCGGGUUGGUUUAAAUCCUUUGGGAUAAGGUAUCAUGGAGGGUGAGAAUCCCGUGUAUAUCAACCGCUGGGAUGUUAUUAAUACGUUCUCUAAGAGCCGAGUUGUUUGGGAAUGCAGCUCUAAAUGGGUGGUAAAUUUCACCUAAUGCUAAAUAUAAGCGAGAGACCGAUAGCGAACAAGUACCGUGAGGGAAAGAUGAAAAGAACUUUGAAAAGAGAGUUAAAUAGUACGUGAAAUUGUUGAAAGGGAAACGAUUGAAGUCAGUCAUGCCGGUGAGAAUCAACUUGAGGAAGGGGGAUUUUUUUGAACCUAACCUUGAAGUGCACUUCUUCGCUUGGCAGGUUAGCGUCGAUUUUGAACGUCAUAAAAUGAUUGGGGGAAGGUAGCUCUUUCGGGAGUGUUAUAGCCCUUAAUUAAUGUGAUAUUUGGGAUCGAGGAUUGCAACGGAUACCUUUUAGGCUAGCCGCCUGGCCUCUGAUUCGAUGUUGGGUUAUAGACAGCACGCUGACUAUGAUCUGAUUAUUGGUCAAAAGGUUAGAGCGAGCAUAAAUUCGUUAAGGACGC
rnacentral:rRNA from 1 species